AGAGUUUGAUCAUGGCUCAGAUUGAACGCCGGCGGAAUGCUUUACACAUGCAAGUCGAACGGCAGCACGGACUUCGGUCUGGUGGCGAGUGGCGAACGGGUGAGUAACAUAUCGGAACGUAUCCAAUAAUGGGGGAUAACUAAUCGAAAGGUUGGCUAAUACCGCAUACGCCCUACGGGGGAAAGCUAGGGACCUUCGGGCCUGGCGUUAAUGGAGCGGCCGAUAUCUGAUUAGCUAGUUGGUGGGGUAAAGGCCACCAAGGCGACGAUCAGUAGCUGGUCUGAGAGGACGACCAGCCACACUGGAACUGAGACACGGUUCAGACUCCUACGGGAGGCAGCAGUGGGGAAUUUUGGACAAUGGGCGCAAGCCUGAUCCAGCCAUUCCGCGUGAGUGAAGAAGGCCUUCGGGUUGUAAAGCUCUUUCGCAAGGGAAGAAAACUUAGUCUCUAACAUAGACUGAGGUUGACGGUACCUUGAUAAGAAGCACCGGCUAACUACGUGCCAGCAGCCGCGGUAAUACGUAGGGUGCGAGCGUUAAUCGGAAUUACUGGGCGUAAAGCGUGCGCAGGCGGUUUUGUAAGUCAGAUGUGAAAUCCCCGAGCUCAACUUGGGAACUGCGUUUGAAACUACAAGACUAGAAUAUGUCAGAGGGGGGUAGAAUUCCACGUGUAGCAGUGAAAUGCGUAGAGAUGUGGAGGAAUACCAAUGGCGAAGGCAGCCCCCUGGGAUAAUAUUGACGCUCAUGCACGAAAGCGUGGGGAGCAAACAGGAUUAGAUACCCUGGUAGUCCACGCCCUAAACGAUGUCUACUAGUUGUUGGUGGAGUAAAAUCCAUGAGUAACGCAGCUAACGCGUGAAGUAGACCGCCUGGGGAGUACGGUCGCAAGAUUAAAACUCAAAUGAAUUGACGG
rnacentral:rRNA from 1 species